rnacentral:rRNA from 1 species
CCUACGGGAGGCAGCAGUGAGGAAUAUUGGUCAAUGGGCGGGAGCCUGAACCAGCCAAGUCGCGUGAGGGAAGACGGUCCUAUGGAUUGUAAACCUCUUUAGGCGGGGAGCAAUGCCGGGCACGUGUGCCCGGAGGUAGAGUACCCGCAGAAUAAGCAUCGGCUAACUCCGUACCAGCAGCCGCGGUAAUACGGGGGAUGCGAGCGUUAUCCGGUUUUAUUGGGUUUAAAGGGUGCGUAGGCGGAUUUUUAAGUCAGCGGUAAAAUGUCCGGGCUCAACCCGGGCCGGCCGUUGAAACUGGGGAUCUUGAGUGGGCGAGAAGUAUGCGGAAUGCGUGGUGUAGCGGUGAAAUGCAUAGAUAGCACGUAGAACUCCGAUUGCGAAGGCAGCAUACCGGCGCCCGACUGACGCUGAGGCACGAAAGCGUGGGGAUCGAACAGGAUUAGAUACCCUUGUAGUC